rnacentral:RNase_P_RNA from 18 species
CGAGUUAGUCAGGCAAUCGCUGGUUUGUUGAAAUCUUUAACCGUUUUUAAACGACUUAGAGGCAUAAGUAAACGAGAGGAAAGUCCGGGCUACAUAGGGCAGAGUGCCGGAUAACGUCCGGGAGGCGUGAGUCUACGACCAGUGCAACAGAGAGCAGACCGCCAAUGGCUCGUAAGAGAUCAGGUAAGGGUGAAAGGGUGUGGUAAGAGCACACCGCAUGAAUGGUAACAUUUUAUGGCAUGGUAAACUCCACUCGUAGCAAGACCAAAUAGGAACUCAAUGAGUUGCCCGCUCAGAGUUCGGGUAGGUUGCUUGAGCGUAUGUGUAAAUGUACGCCUAGAUGAAUGAUUGUCCAAGACAGAACCCGGCUUAUCGACUAACUCAACAU